CCCGCCGGAAUCGCCGCGCAGCUCCGCCCUGUGGAGGUGGGCCCAGGACACGGUGGGGCAGGGCUGCGGAAAGCGCCUCUCCUCCAGAGACCGUGGUUGGCCCUUGGCAUCCCUGGCAGUCCUGUCCCGCCCACGGUGUGCCGCGCCCCCUUCCUUUCCCCUUUUGAGACACCGAGAGAGUGAAUAAUUCUCAAAAGAUAACCUUGAGUCUACAAGAUCCAAGACACAAAGGAACCUUUCCUACACGAUCCUACAUCUUUGGAGGAAAAAAAAAUCAAGAAUCAGUAUAUAGCAAUUUCAAGAUGGCCACUUGAUUACUCUUACUACACUCA